rnacentral:misc_RNA from 1 species
GAUGAAGAACGUAGCGAAAUGCGAUAAGUAGUGUGAAUUGCAGAAUUCAGUGAAUCAUCGAAUCUUUGAACGCACAUUGCGCCCCUUGGUAUUCCAUGGGGCAUGCCUGUUCGAGCGUCAUUUGUACCCUCAAGCUAAGCUUGGUGUUGGGUGUUUGUCCACUCCCUCGUGUUUGGACUCGCCUUAAAACAAUUGGCAGCCAGUGUUUUGGUAUUGAAGCGCAGCACAAUUUGCGAUUCUAGCCUAGAAUACUAGCAUCCAUCAAGUCAUUUUUAACGCUUGACCUUGGAUCAGGUAGGGAUACCCGCUGAACUUAAGCAUAUCAAUAAGCGGAGGA